UACGUAGGGUGCGAGCGUUAAUCGGAAUUACUGGGCGUAAAGCGUGCGCAGGCGGUUAUGCAAGACAGAUGUGAAAUCCCCGGGCUCAACCUGGGAACUGCAUUUGUGACUGCAUGACUAGAGUACGGCAGAGGGGGAUGGAAUUCCGCGUGUAGCAGUGAAAUGCGUAGAUAUGCGGAGGAACACCGAUGGCGAAGGCAAUCCCCCUGGGCCUGUACUGACGCUCAUGCACGAAAGCGUGGGGAGCAAACAGG
rnacentral:rRNA from 1 species